AGAACGAACGCUGGCGGCAUGCCUAACACAUGCAAGUCGAACGCUCCUGGGGCUUCGGUCUCAGGGGAGUGGCGCACGGGUGAGUAGCGCGUGGGAACCUGCCCUGUUGUGGGGGAUAACCGAAGGAAACUUAGGCUAAUACCGCAUAAGCCGGUUGUCUUGAAAGGGAUGGCCGGGAAAGAUUUAUCGCGACAGGAGGGGCCCGCGUCGGAUUAGCUAGUUGGUGGGGUAACGGCCCACCAAGGCUGUGAUCCGUAGCUGGUCUGAGAGGAUGAUCAGCCACACUGGGACUGAGACACGGCCCAGACUCCUACGGGAGGCAGCAGUGGGGAAUAUUGGACAAUGGGCGCAAGCCUGAUCCAGCAAUGCCGCGUGAGUGAUGAAGGCCUUAGGGUUGUAAAGCUCUUUCGCCCGCGACGAUGAUGACGGUAGCGGGAGAAGAAGCCCCGGCUAACUUCGCGCCAGCAGCCGCGGUAA
rnacentral:rRNA from 1 species